GUGUACGAAAGGAGAGAAGGUUAACACUCUUCUUGAUAAGCAAGGACAACGCAUAUACUGUCAAGGCACAGUCGCUUCGGCGACACGCAAUGCACAAUAACCCGGGUUAUUU